AAUGGGACGGCAACAUUUGGUUGGUGUAGUACAGAGAAACCAGCCUUGUUUACAUAGCCGUCCCAUG